GUCCACGCCGUAAACGAUGGACACUAGGCGUCGGGGGGAGCGACCCCCUCGGUGCCGUCGCUAACGCAGUAAGUGUCCCGCCUGGGGAGUACGGCCGCAAGGCUGAAACUCAAAGGAAUUGACGGGGGCCCGCACAAGCGGUGGAGCAUGUGGUUUAAUUCGAAGCAACGCGAAGAACCUUACCUGGGCUUGACAUACUGGUGUAAGCUGGUGGAAACACCGGCCCCUCUUCGGAGCGCCAGCACAGGUGCUGCAUGGCUGUCGU
rnacentral:rRNA from 1 species